AUUGAACGCUGGCGGCAUGCUUUACACAUGCAAGUCGAACGGUAACAGGCCUUCGGGUGCUGAUGAGUGGCGAACGGGUGCGUAAUGCAACGGAACGUGCCCAGAGGUGGGGGAUAACGCAGCGAAAGCUGUGCUAAUACCGCAUGUGAUCUGAGGAUGAAAGCGGGGUGCCAGGCAGCAAUGUUUGGCCUCGCGCCUUUGGAGCGGCCGAUGUCGGAUUAGGUAGUUGGUAGGGUAAAGGCAUACCAAGCCGACGAUAUGUAGCUGGUCUGAGAGGACGAUCAGCCACACUGGGACUGAGACACGGCCCAGACUCCUACGGGAGGCAGCAGUGGGGAAUUUUGGACAAUGGGCGCAAGCCUGUUCCAGCAAUGCCGCGUGAGGGAAGAAGGCCUUCGGGUUGUAAACCGCUUUUGUACGGAACGAAAAGGCUCUGGCUAAUACCUGGGGCUGAUGACGGUACCGUAAGAAUAAGCACCGGCUAACUACGUG
rnacentral:rRNA from 1 species